UACGUAGGGUGCAAGCGUUGUCCGGAAUUAUUGGGCGUAAAGAGCUCGUAGGCGGUUUGUCGCGUCGAAUGUGAAAACCCGGGGCUCAACCCCGGUCCUGCAUUCGAUACGGGCAGACUAGAGUUCGGUAGGGGAGUCUGGAAUUCCUGGUGUAGCGGUGAAAUGCGCAGAUAUCAGGAGGAACACCGGUGGCGAAGGCGGGACUCUGGGCCGAUACUUACGCUGAGGAGCGAAAGCGUGGGGAGCAAACAGG
rnacentral:rRNA from 1 species